rnacentral:rRNA from 1 species
CCUGGCUCAGAUUGAACGCUGGCGGCAUGCCUUACACAUGCAAGUCGAACGGCAGCACGGGUGCUUGCACCUGGUGGCGAGUGGCGAACGGGUGAGUAAUACAUCGGAACAUGUCCUGUAGUGGGGGAUAGCCCGGCGAAAGCCGGAUUAAUACCGCAUACGAUCUACGGAUGAAAGCGGGGGACCUUCGGGCCUCGCGCUAUAGGGUUGGCCGAUGGCUGAUUAGCUAGUUGGUGGGGUAAAGGCCUACCAAGGCGACGAUCAGUAGCUGGUCUGAGAGGACGACCAGCCACACUGGGACUGAGACACGGCCCAGACUCCUACGGGAGGCAGCAGUGGGGAAUUUUGGACAAGGGCGAAAGCCUGACCAGCAAUGCCGCGUGUGUGAGAGGCCUUCGGGUUGUAAAGCACUUUUGUCCG